rnacentral:rRNA from 1 species
GAUGAACGCUGGCGGCGUGCCUAAUACAUGCAAGUCGAGCGAACGGACGAGAAGCUUGCUUCUCUGAUGUUAGCGGCGGACGGGUGAGUAACACGUGGAUAACCUACCUAUAAGACUGGGAUAACUUCGGGAAACCGUAGCUAAUACCGGAUAAUAUUUUGAACCGCAUGGUUCAAAAGUGAAAGACGGUCUUGCAGUCACUUAUAGAUGGAUCCGCGCUGCAUUAGCUAGUUGGUAAGGUAACGGCUUACCAAGGCAACGAUGCAUAGCCGACCUGAGAGGGUGAUCGGCCACACUGGAACUGAGACACGGUCCAGACUCCUACGGGAGGCAGCAGUAGGGAAUCUUCCGCAAUGGGCGAAAGCCUGACGGAGCAACGCCGCGUGAGUGAUGAAGGUCUUCGGAUCGUAAAACUCUGUUAUUAGGGAAGAACAUAUGUGUAAGUAACUGUGCACAUCUUGACGGUACCUAAUCAGAAAGCCACGGCUAACUACGU